GACCUGGGUCCCUGGCUCUGUAGCCCUACCAGGUGGGAGCUGUGGCUGAGGGGUGAGGGGCAUUGACAGAGCACCGGCCCAUUAGGGCUGCUCAGAGCCAAAAAGCAGUGCAGUGGGGAGCAGCUGCAGAUGCACCCAUGUCCUGGUGAGCAAAGGGGGCAGG